UACGUAGGGGGCUAGCGUUGUCCGGAAUCAUUGGGCGUAAAGCGCGCGUAGGCGGUCCGGUAAGUCCGCUGUGAAGGUCGGGGGCUCAACCCUCGGAUGCCGGUGGAUACUGUCGGGCUUGAGUACGGAAGAGGCGAGUGGAAUUCCUGGUGUAGCGGUGAAAUGCGCAGAUAUCAGGAGGAACACCAAUUGCGAAGGCAGCUCGCUGGGACGUUACUGACGCUGAGACGCGAAAGCGUGGGGAGCAAACAGG
rnacentral:rRNA from 1 species